AGAGUUUGAUCAUGGCUCAGGAUGAACGCUAGCGGCAGGCUUAAUACAUGCAAGUCGAGGGGCAGCAGUCCCGUAGCAAUACGGGAGCUGGCGACCGGCAAACGGGUGCGGAACACGUACGCAACUUUCCUUCAACUGAGGAAUAGCCCAGGGAAACUUGGAUUAAUACCUCGUAAUAUUAUGAAAUGGCAUCAUUUUAUAAUUAUAGCUCCGGCGGUUGAAGAUGGGCGUGCGCCUGAUUAGGUAGUUGGCGGGGUAACGGCCCACCAAGCCUACGAUCAGUAACUGGUGUGAGAGCACGACCAGUCACACGGGCACUGAGACACGGGCCCGACUCCUACGGGAGGCAGCAGUAAGGAAUAUUGGGCAAUGGACGCAAGUCUGACCCAGCCAUGCCGCGUGGAGGAUGAAGGUCCUCUGGAUUGUAAACUUCUUUUAUUUGGGAAGAAACCCAUAUUUUCUAAUGUGGUUGACGGUACCAGAUGAAUAAGCACCGGCUAACUCCGUGCCAGCAGCCGCGGUAAUACGGAGGGUGCAAGCGUUAUCCGGAUUCACUGGGUUUAAAGGGUGCGUAGGUGGGCAGGUAAGUCAGUGGUGAAAUCUCCGGGCUUAACCCGGAAACUGCCGUUGAUACUAUCUGUCUUGAAUAUCGUGGAGGUUAGCGGAAUAUGUCAUGUAGCGGUGAAAUGCUUAGAUAUGACAUAGAACACCGAUUGCGAAGGCAGCUAACUACACGAUCAUUGACACUGAGGCACGAAAGCGUGGGGAGCAAACAGGAUUAGAUACCCUAGUAGUCC
rnacentral:rRNA from 1 species